UACGAAGGGUGCGAGCGUUAUUCGGAUUGAUUGGGCGUAAAGGGUGCGCAGGCGGAAUGUUAAGUCAACUGUUAAAUUUCCCGGCCUAACCGGGAGUCAGCGGUAGAUACUGGCGUUCUUGAGGGUGGAGGAGAGAAGUGGAAUUCUCGGAGUAGCGGUAAAAUGCGUAGAUCUCGAGAGGAACACCGAUGGCGAAGGCAGCUUCUUGGUCCAUUUCUGACGCUCAUGCACGAAAGCGUGGGGAGCAAACAGGAUUAGAUACCCUGGUAGUCCACGCUGUAAACGAUGAUUACUGGACGUUAGCUCCGUUAUGCGGGGCUAGUGUCGUAGCUAACGCGAUAAGUAAUCCGCCGAGUAGUACGGUCGCAAGAUUAAAACUCAAAGGAAUUGACGGGGGUCCGCACAAGCGGUGGAACAUGUGGUUUAAUUCGACACUACGCGAGGAACCUUACCUAGGUUUGACAUGUAUUUGACCGCUAUGGAAACAUAGUUUUCUAUGCGUAAGCAUAGACAGAUGCACAGGUGCUGCAUGGCUGUCGUCAGCUCGUGUCGUGAGAUGUUGGGUUAAGUCCUUUAACGAGCGCAACUCCUGCCACUAGUUGCAACCCAGUGAUGGGGCACUCUAGUGGGACUGCCUGGGAAACCAGGAGGAAGGCGGGAAUGACGUCAAGUCCGCAUGGUCCUUAUACCUAGGGCAACACACGUGUUACAAUGGCUAAUACAAAGGGUCGCGAAGUCGCAAGAUGAAGCUAAUCCCAUAAAGUUAGUCUAAGUUCAGAUUGAGGUCUGCAACUCGACCUCAUGAAGUUGAAAUCGCUAGUAAUCGCGUAUCAGAACGACGCGGUGAAUACGUUCUCGGACCU
rnacentral:rRNA from 1 species